UACAGAGGGGGCAAGCGUUGUUCGGAAUUACUGGGCGUAAAGGGCGCGUAGGCGGCCUUCUAAGUCGAACGUGAAAUCCCUGGGCUCAACCCAGGAACUGCGUCCGAUACUGGAAGGCUUGAAUCCGGGAGAGGGAUGCGGAAUUCCAGGUGUAGCGGUGAAAUGCGUAGAGAUCGGAAAGAACACCAACGGCGAAGGCACUCUGCUGGGCCGACACUGACACUGAGAGACGAAAGCUAGGGGAGCAAAUGGG
rnacentral:rRNA from 1 species